rnacentral:rRNA from 1 species
AACGAACGCUGGCGGCAGGCCUAACACAUGCAAGUCGAGCGAGGACUUCGGUCUUAGCGGCGGACGGGUGAGUAACGCGUGGGAACGUGCCCUUUGCUUCGGAAUAGCCCUGGGAAACUGGGAGUAAUACCGGAUGAGCCCUUUGGGGGAAAGAUUUAUCGGCGAAGGAUCGGCCCGCGUUGGAUUAGGUAGUUGGUGGGGUAAUGGCCUACCAAGCCGACGAUCCAUAGCUGGUUUGAGAGGAUGAUCAGCCACACUGGGACUGAGACACGGCCCAGACUCCUACGGGAGGCAGCAGUGGGGAAUCUUAGACAAUGGGGGAAACCCUGAUCUAGCCAUGCCGCGUGAGCGAUGAAGGCCUUAGGGUUGUAAAGCUCUUUCAGCUGGGAAGAUAAUGACGGUACCAGCAGAAGAAGCCCCGGCUAACUCCGUG